rnacentral:rRNA from 1 species
UGGGGAAUAUUGCACAAUGGGCGCAAGCCUGAUGCAGCCAUGCCGCGUGUAUGAAGAAGGCCUUCGGGUUGUAAAGUACUUUCAGCGGGGAGGAAGGUGUUGUGGUUAAUAACCUCAGCAAUUGACGUUACCCGCAGAAGAAGCACCGGCUAACUCCGUGCCAGCAGCCGCGGUAAUACGGAGGGUGCAAGCGUUAAUCGGAAUUACUGGGCGUAAAGCGCACGCAGGCGGUCUGUCAAGUCGGAUGUGAAAUCCCCGGGCUCAACCUGGGGACUGCAUCCGAAACUGGCAGGCUUGAGUCUUGUAGAGGGGGGUAGAAUUCCAGGUGUAGCGGUGAAAUGCGUAGAGAUCUGGAGGAAUACCGGUGGCGAAGGCGGCCCCCUGGACAAAGACUGACGCUCAGGUGCGAAAGCGUGGGGAGCAAACA